rnacentral:rRNA from 1 species
CGGGUGAGUAAUGUCUGGGAAACUGCCUGAUGGAGGGGGAUAGCUACUGGAAACGGUAGCUAAUACCGCAUAACGUCGCAAGACCAAAGAGGGGACCUUCGGGCCUCUUGCCAUCGGAUGUGCCCAGAUGGGAUUAGCUAGUAGGUGGGGUAACGGCUCACCUAGGCGACGAUCCCUAGCUGGUCUGAGAGGAUGACCAGCCACACUGGAACUGAGACACGGUCCAG